rnacentral:rRNA from 1 species
GACGAACGCUGGCGGCGUGCUUAACACAUGCAAGUCGAACGGAAAGGCCCUGCUUGCCGGGUACUCGAGUGGCGAACGGGUGAGUAACACGUGGGUGAUCUGCCCUGCACUUCGGGAUAAGCCUGGGAAACUGGGUCUAAUACCGGAUAGGAGCCAUUUUUAGUGUGAUGGUUGGAAAGUUUUUUCGGUGUAGGAUGAGCUCGCGGCCUAUCAGCUUGUUGGUGGGGUAAUGGCCUACCAAGGCGGCGACGGGUAGCCGGCCUGAGAGGGUGGACGGCCACAUUGGGACUGGGAUACGGCCCAGACUCCUACGGGAGGCAGCAGUGGGGAAUAUUGCACAAUGGGCGCAAGCCUGAUGCAGCGACGCCGCGUGGGGGAUGACGGCCUUCGGGUUGUAAACGCCUUUCGCUAGGGACGAAGCUUUUUGUGACGGUACCUAGAUAAGAAGCACCGGCUAACUACGUG